UUCCAGGUUUCGAAUUGUCAGAC
rnacentral:miRNA from 1 species